rnacentral:rRNA from 1 species
UGAAUACGAGACGCUAAGGCGUCGAAGUAGUGUAUGUCAUACUUCCAAGAAAAGCUUGCACUGGCAUAGAUAAAAAACGCCUGUACCAUAACCGACACAGGUGGGUAGGUAGAGUAUACUAAGGGGCGCGAGAUAACUCUCUCUAAGGAACUCGGCAAAAUAACUCCGUAACUUCGGGAGAAGGAGUGCCUUAUUCGUAAGGUUGCAAUAACAAGAUCCAAGCAACUGUUUAUCAAAAACACAGGUCUCCGCUAAGUCGUAAGACGAUGUAUGGGGGCUGACGCCUGCCCAGUGCCAGAAGGUUAAAGAAGUUGGUUAGCAAUUGCGAAGCUGAUAACUGAAGCCCUGGUGAACGGCGGCCGUAACGAUAACGGUCCUAAGGUAGCGAAAUUCCUUGUCGGGUAAGUUCCGACCCGCACGAAAGGCGUAAUGAUUUGGAUACUGUCUCGGAGAGGGGCUCGGUGAAAUAGACUUGUCUGUGAAGAUGCGGACUACCUGCACCAGGACAGAAAGACCCUAUGAAGCUUUACUGUAACUUGAAAUUGAAAUUGGACUUUAUUCGCGCAGUAUAGGUGGGAGGCGUUGAUUAUAAUCUUGUGGGAUUAUUGGAGCCAUCAGUGAGAUACCACUCUUGUAAUGUUAGAUUUCUAACUUUGAAUCAUUAUCUGGUCAAAGAACAGUUUCAGGCGGGCAGUUUGACUGGGGCGGUCGCCUCCUAAACGGUAACGGAGGCGUACAAAGGUUUCCUCUGAACGGUUAGAAAUCGUAUCUAGAGUGUAAAGGCAUAAGGAAGCUUGACUGUGAGACCUACAAGUCGAGCAGGGACGAAAGUCGGUCUUAGUGAUCUGACGGUACUGAGUGGAAAGGCCGUCACUCAACGGAUAAAAGUUACUCUAGGAUAACAGGCUGAUCUCCCCCAAGAGUUCACAUCGACGGGGAGGUUUGGCACCUCGAUGUCGGCUCAUCGCAUCCUGGGGCGGUAGUACGUCCCAAGGGUUGGGCUGUUCGCCCAUGAAAGCGGUACGCGAGCUGGGUUCAGAACGUCGUGAGACAGUUCGGUCCAUAUCCGGUGUAGGCGUUAGAAUAUUGAGAGGAGCCUUCUUUAGUACGAGAGGACCGAGAAGGACAUACCUCUGGUGUACCAGUUAUCGUGCCAACGGUAAACGCUGGGUAGCUAUGUAUGGAGUGGAUAACCGCUGAAAGCAUCUAAGUGGGAAGCCCACCUCAAGAUAAGUAUUCUCA